GUGUGUGUUGUUCGAUUCAUGCAUGGAAGGCAAAAAGAUAUGCAAAUGGAUACACCAGAUAAAAGUGAGAAAGACACUGGACGGUCCAGAUCUAUUUUGGCCACUCAUUACAAGCCCUUCACCUUAACUCCUUACUCAAAUUUUCAAAGAAAAAAACAAUACCAAAUCUUGAAAUUGCACAAUCCACAAAAAUGUUUAAUUACAGAUUUGUUUCCCUUAUUUGACAAAAAUUCUUAAAUAGCACAACUGAACUGUAAACUGAAUCCGAGUACUAUAACAAACCAGGGGCCUAACAGAGACUUCUCGACGUCCAAACAAAGCCUGAACCAGAAUUGUCUCUUCUCUGCCACUUAUUCUAUUCUCAAGCAACAAACUUUGGCGUUGAGCACAUUUGUCAAUUUUGUUUGCAGUGUCACCAAUGUAGAUUUUGGGAAACCAGACCCAAAACCACUUCAUUUAUACAAAGAAAUAAUUCAUUUUUUUUAAAACCUCUAUAGGAAAUUCAUAUUUGAUGACAAAAACAUGAUGAUGGUUCUGUUUCUCACAGCAAAAAAAAAAAAAAAAAGGAAAGGGAAAGGCACACUAGGCCUUCACAUUUCUUCCUGUACAACAUUAAUUUAAAGGUCACAACGAGAUAAAAAACCCUAUAAGAGCAAUUCAGAGAGAUUCUGACAUUCUAGGUAAUAAACGAUUUCCAGACAAGAGGGUCCCAAGAAAAGUGAAACAUGAGCCCGUUCACUAGAGCUCCACAGCAUUAAAAUUAAUUUUCUAAAAACUCUCUCUCUCUCUACUUUAAAAGAGUAACAUUUGGAGGAGCCCAUAACCCAAAAAAGUCUCUCCUAGCAUUCUGCAAGUUGUUGAGAGUGAUGUUGCUUACUUGCUUUCUCCAUGGCCAAAUAUCUCCUCCAUAAUGCUCCCUGUUGGUUGAAGAUCUUUGCCAUUUGCUGACACUUUCGGAUCAUUCGACUUCUUCUGAUGCUCUCCAACACCUGUCUCGUCUUUCUUUGUACAGUUUGUCCAGACUGAGUUCAAUGCAUUAUGCCCAAGUCCAAAGCCCGUAUAAGAGUCAUCUUCCACGUUCAAUCUCUCCUCAUUGCACCCGGAAAAUCUAUCCACAUGUUCAGCACCACCUUCUCUGGUAUCAUCAUCACUAACACUGACAUCUUCUUCACCUUCUUCCUGAUUGAAUGGAUGCACUUCCUCAUUAUAUUUGUCAGUCACUUGAUGAAGAGGAGAUUCAAAAGCAGGGUCUUCUUCUUCUUCUUCAUCUUCCUCGACAUAUUGAGUCCCCAAAGAACCUCCAUGCCAUUCAUCAUCAUCGCUAUCAAUGUCCAGCAUCAAAGACCUGUUCUGUGUGGCCCUUCGUCUGAGGACAAAAACGUUGAAGUAGUAGCUAACAAUCUCGUGCUUGGUUCGAGAAAAGAAUGCAGCUUCCAAGUGGUUCCAAAAGUUGCGACCUAAUGCCACGGGAUUUGAAUAAACAACCUCGUGAAAGAGUAUUGCAUCUCCGUCGCUCCAUCUCUGUGCAACCACUUCUCCCAUUUCACAGAAGCCCAGGUCUCUGAAUGUCUCAAAUCCAAGCACCUUGACCAUUUCUUCUCUAGCUUCUUUGACGUGCUGGCGCACGCAUCUUAUAGAACCCCUGUCAUGGCAAACACAGAACUCUCUUCCUUUCCCUACGAUGCCAUCCAUAUUUGCAGGCAUAUCCAAAGCCGGCAUGGGAAUGACGCAUGUACCAGAUAGCUUCGACGUGCCUGAAGCUUCUAGGUUCUCCCACUCAGGAAUUAAGGCUUGAUGAUCUGGUCCAACGUGCACUUGCUUUCUAACAGGUUGAUCCAAGAGGAAAGAAUACAAAGUCUCAACAGGAGAACAUGGUCUUGGAGGUACAAGACCAACCUCAAAAUAGCUUGCAGAAUGAGGAGCAUGAGCUGCCGCUUCUCCGUCGCAAUCUUUCAUGACUCGAUCGAAACAACCAUCCACGACAAAACCGUAGUACCCAAGAUUGGACUCUUCAUCAAAGGUUUCACCUCCUUGAGGAUUUGAGAGAUCUCCCUCAUCAUUCACUAUUGUUCAUAAACCCAUUCAAACGAAAAUAUUCAAUCACAUAUAGCUUGAACCAUUAAAACCAACGCUAAAAAAAUUCACGAAUAUUUACCCGUGGCAAGAGGUUUCUCCGAAACAGCAUGUCGUGGAAUAAACUCUUGAAACUGCGUAGACUUAUCAUUAAAGCCAAGCUGUCUAGAAUGUUUGAAUGGGAGCUCAUGAAACUUCUCAUCAUCGAAAGGGCGUUUAAAUCCCAUUUUGCAAUCUACAUUUGCAUGCAAGAGAAAUUUAAUGAAAAGAAUCAUCUCAUAGUUGCAUGCAAGAGACGUUAAACAAACCUUAUGUAAGAUUAGAUACCUAACUGUAUAAAACUAUAUGUUCCUCUAAGGACAAUAACUAUACCGCCAUGCUACUUAAAAUAUGCAUGAAUCAAAACAUUGAACCAUACAAUAACAACAAAAGAACUGACAAAAGUAAAAAUGUUUUAAAAUAAGAGUUCAGACAAGAAGAAUUAUUUACCUCUCUCUAUAGGGACAAGCUCGGAUAAUGUUACAGGCCAACUGCACAAAGGAUGGAACCAAACUAGAACGUCACCACAAGACUCAAACAAUAUUAAAUACGAUUCUUAGCCGUUUCAGAAGCUUAAGCUGGAAAAAAAAUCGAAAAUCCCCAACUCAGAAAAGACCUAACCCUAACCCCCAAAUCAAGAAUAGAAUAGAUAUGACUCGACAAAAUAUAUACAAAUCAAGAGAAACCCCUUUGUUAAUUUACAGAUCUGGCAAGUCCUAGGAUAGAUCGGAAAAUAGGAACCCUAGAUCUCAAUCGAGGACGAGAAACAUGAAAUUAACAUGAAAACUAAAGGGGAUAUUUAUAAAAAUACGAGUCAAUAGCGAAAUAAAACGAUGGAUUAAGAAAUUAUACAGCUUGUGAGGACAUCGAUAGCCCUAACCCUAGAUCUGUUUUGACAAAGGGAAAGAUAAAAAGAUUGGUAUCAAUAGAAAGAGGGAAACGUGAAUUAGAUGAAUCUACAGCUCAAUUGAAACAUUAAUCAAGAAAUCGAAGUAAAUCGACAAAAGAAAGAAAUUUUGGAUUACGUUGAAAAUUUUGGGGAAGAACACGAAAGAAGUUAAGAUCCAGGAUUUGUGGAUACGGUUCAUGCUAUAAGCGGCCCAAAACACUAAUUCGGGUUUACCCGCAAAAAUAUCCCUGAAAAUCAGCUGGACCACACACUUAAACCUUUUUUCUCUCUAGUCCUUAUUAUUUUGUAAUCUUCAUACUUUUCACCCUAUAUGUUUCCAAUGAACAAUUAAACCCAAUUUGAAAUAAACAUAAAAGCACAAGAUUUGUUACAUUUUAGGAGGAUUUUAGUAUUUUACUAUGAACAACUUACGCGGAUUUUACUAUAUAUAAAUAUAAAAUUUUGUAUUCAUAUACUCUUCUAACUUAGGCAGAUUCAGACGUUUUACAACAAGGUUUAGGAAUCAGAAGGAAACUCAAUACUAUAUUUUAUAUAUAUAUAUAUGGGAACAAGAAGUUGUCUCCUUCAUGCCACAGAAGGCAUGUUCUUGAGCCAUGAAUCAAGCGGCUUACCAAUGGAGUAAACAAUAAACCCAAUCUCUCGCAGCUUCACUGCAUCAACAACAUUCCUACCAUCAAACACAAAAGCAGGCUUGCGCAUACUCUCAAAGAUUCUCUUGAAGUCCAACGACUUAAACUCAUCCCACUCGGUCAAAACACAAAUGCCAUGCGCGUCUUUAGUGGCCUCGUAAGCAUCCGAGACGACACUCACUUGCUCCAACAUACCUUCAGCUUUGAUCUGCUGAAGAGAAACUGGAUGGUCCCAGUCAAACCUAGCCAUGGAAAGAUCUUUCCUUAUCUGUUCUUCAAGAACCUGCGGGUCGUAUAUGCUCAGCUUGGCUUUAUCAGCGACCAAUCUGUUGCAAACAUCGAUGGCUGGCGUCUCUCUAGUGUCCCCCGUGUCUUUCUUGAACGCAAAACCGAGUAUUGCUACUUUCUUGCCUGAUACGGUGUUGAACAUCGAGGAAACAACCCGGUUAGCGAACCGGGUUUUCUGAUAGUCGUUGACCUUGAUGACUUGUUUCCAGUAGUUAGCUGCUUCAGGCAAGCCGUUGCAUUCACAGAUGUAGAUAAGAUUGAGGAUGUCCUUUUGGAAACAAGAUCCACCGAAACCAACACUUGCGUUCAAGAACUUGGGACCGAUCCUAGUAUCUGUACCAACCGCAUGAGCGACUUGUGUGAUAUCAGCUCCUGUGGCUUCGCAUAGAGCAGACAUGGCGUUGACAGAUGAUAUCCUCUGAGCUAAAAACGCGUUUGCCGCGAGCUUGGAUAGCUCAGCUGACCAGAGGUUAGUGCAGAUGAUGCGUUCCACUGGAACCCAAUGAGCAUACACAUCUCUCAAAGCUUGAACAGCUUUUUCCCCAGCUGCAUUCUCCCUCCCACCGAUUAGCACACGGUCCGGGUUAUAGAGAUCUUUAACCGCAGUGCCCUCAGCGAGAAACUCAGGGUUAGAGAGUAUCUGAAACUCUAUCCCUUUGCUGUUAUGCGUGAGUAUCUUCUCAAUAGCCUCCGCUGUUCUCACGGGGACUGUGGACUUCUCGACGACGAUUUUGCUGGACUUGGAGACGUCAGCGAUCAUCCGAGCGGCGCUCUCCCAGUAAGUGAGGUCAGCAGCUUUGCCGGCGCCGAGGCCUUGCGUUUUGGUGGGAGUGUUGACCGAGACGAAGACGAUGUCGCUCUCGAAGACGUGUUUCUCCACGUCUGUGCUGAAGAAGAGGUUUUUGCCUCUGCAUUGUUUGACCACAUCGUCCAGGCCUGGCUCGUAGAUGGGAAGCUUGUCGCUGUUCCAAGCGUUGAUCCUUGGCUCGGAGAUGUCGACGACUGAUACUUCUAUCUCAGGGCACUUGAGAGCCAUCACGGCCAUGGUUGGACCUCCCACGUAGCCAGCGCCAAUGCAGCAUAUCUUCUUCACCAUCUUCACCAGAGUAAAAAAAAACAGUCAAUUAUACAAAAGAGUAAAACUUUAACAACAAUGUCGAUAAUACGCAAUUAAACUCGUAACCUAAAUAAAUAAAUAAACUGAAUUGGGUAAUGAAUCUGUAUAAAGUAGAGACGACAAGUGCGGCAUUAAAGCAAACACCUUAUAAGCUCAGAUCUAUCGAUUUCAAAGAAGAUCACAGCAGAACAAGCUUCCAGGUUAUAAAUCCACACGUGUUUGGACAAAACUAACGCAAUGCGACACGAACAGUUUUGGUUGGUCUGAUCGAUCAAAGAAAGAGAUCAUUUUCUAACGCUUGUACGAUCGCAAAGCCCAUAUUUUUACAUAAAGGGUGAGCGCACAAAUCCCAUAACUCGAGUUUUGGGCAAAAAUGAAUGAUCUAUCGAUUCGAUUCAAGGCGAAUGAGCAGAUAAAAAGCAAAAAAAGUUGAGAACUUUACCUUGCAGAUACUCUUUCUACGAGACUUGAGAGUGAACCCACGAGAGAGAGAGAGAGAGAGAGAGAGAGAGAGAGAGAGGGUUACGGUGGAGAAAAUGAGAGAGAAAAGCAAAAGGAGAUUGCUACGGUGGAGACGAUGGUAAUGGCAGAGGAGAUAUCUUCUGAUGGAGUUAUAAAUACACUCACACACAGAGAGCCACUUGACUUGCACACUUCUAACUUUCUCCCAAAAUAACUCCACACGCUUUUAUCUCUUCAUUCAAUUAUUGUGUUUUACCAUAAUCUGGUUACAGAUUUUGACCAUAUCUCAAAGAUUAGUAGUAUACACUUAUUAUAACUUUUUGUAUAUAAUCUUCAAUAUAUCAAAGAAAAAAACUUGAUUCUAAAUGCUCUAAGGGUAAAACCCAUUUAAUUUUCCUUUUUUUUUUAAAGAUGAGCCUUCUAAUAGGAAUUUGUAGAUGCCAAAUUUAAGCAACUUCGUUUUCAAUUUAAUUCAUUGAGGUAUUCUCUCUGCAUAUAUCAGGGUGAAUCUGUAAAAUGACCCAGUCUGGGAAAUAAAUUAAAUCCAGAACACUGAUUUUGACAUAAUAUAUCAUUUAACAAUUGUUAUUCAUUUUCACCGGUUUUACCGUUGAUUCAUACAAGUUGCCGAUAGUUUAAAGAUGUAGAGAUGAAAUUGACAAAAUCCAAGUGUGGCCAAUAAUUAGUGCAAACUUUUACCAACAAAAAGAAGAUAAUAUAGCCACAUCACAUACAUUUCAUUAAUUCUACUUCAUAUCACCAAAAUAAUAUAGAAUAUUAAUUAUACAUCAAUCCUUAAAUCUAGAUACUAAAACUUAUCUCAAUCUAAAACUAAUCUCUAAAUACUAAACCUUAAACCCUAACCACUAAACCCUAAAUCCAAAUAUAAACCAUAAACUCAAAUAUAAACUUAAAUCUAACUCCAACUUUUAAAUACUAAACCCUAAAUGGAUCACUAAACCCAAACUCAAAUGUAAACUAUAUUAUAUAUUUAUAAUUUUAAAAUAAAAUUAAAAUCUGAAAAAUAUAUAUAAUAUUUUGUGAUAUUAAAUUAUACUAUAUAAAGAUGGAAAAUACCAUACUAAACUCUAAAUCCAACCUCUAAUUACUAAACCUUAAAUACUAAUCACUAAACCCUAAAUUCUAAAUACUAAUCACUAAACCCUAAAUGCUAAUCACUAAACCCUAAACCCAAGUAUAGACCCUAAAUCCAGAUAGAAUGGAACAAAAAAUAUAGUAUAGUACAUAAUGGUGAAAGAGAACAAUCUUUAUUAAUCGUCAAAUGGAACGAUACAUGAUAUGGUCACUAAACCCAAAUCUCAACCUCACCUUCCAAAUACUAAACUCUAAAUUUUAAUCACUAAACCCUAAAUGAAUAAACUAACAUUUAGGCUUCAUAUUAUCCGGUUAUAUUCUUCACAUAUGCAAGUUGUUGGUACAAAAGAAGAAAGAAAUGACCCAAAGAAAGAAGAAAGACACAUCACUGAUUAAUAAAGCUAAACCCAAAUUAAGGAAGCAUAAACCAAAAUAGAAUAUAUAUAUAAUAUGGUUUACUAAACCCAAACCUCUACUUACUAAAUCUAAACCCUAUGCAUGAACUUAUAAACUCAAAUACAAUCUAUAAAUUAUUUUCCAAUAUUGGACACUUAAAGGCACAUUUACUUGGAUAGCAUGUUACAUAUCUUCUAUUCCAUAUAGUCUAAGUAGUCACGAAUGUCUCAAAUAAUCAAUUUUUUUCAGUGGUGUAUCCAUAGUAUGGAAUGCAAAUAGUAAACCCUCCCCAUCCGCAAAAAUACAACAAUACAAGAAACACCAUUAAUUAUUAAAGCUAAACCUUAAGGAAGUCUAAACCCAAAUAGUAUACAUAUAAUAUGGUUUACUAUACCCAAACCUCUACUUAGUAAAACUAAACCCUAGGCAGGAACCUAUAAACUCAAAUACAAUCUAUAAAAAAAAAUUCAAUAUUGAACACUUGAAGGCACAUUUUGAAUAUUAAACCCUAAACUGCUAUCACUAAACCUAAACUUUAACCCUACACCUUCCAAAUACUAAACUCUAAACUCUAAUCACUAAAUCCUAAACCCAAGUAUAGACCCUAAACCCAAGUAUAGACCCUAAACCCAAAUAGAAUGAAAUAAAAUAAAUAGUAUAGUACAUAUUGGUGAACAAAAUAGAACACUCUUUAUUAAUCAUCAAAUGAAACGAUACAUGUUCACUAAACCCAAAUCCCAACCCCACCCUUCUAAAUACUAAACCCUAAAUCUUAAUCACUAAACCCUAAACCCAAGUAUAAACCCUAAACUCUAAACCCAAAUCUCAAAAUCUAAUACUAACCUCAAACUCACCCAUAUUACUCUAAAUAUUAAACCCUAAUCACUAAUUACUAAACCCUAAACUCAAAUAUAAACUCUAAAUCCAAAUAUCAAAAUCUAAAAUAAUACAUAAUAUUAUGUAAUAUUAGUUUAUAUUAUAUAAAUAUUAUUUGUAGUGUAGAAAUGUAAUAUAAUACACUAUAUACACUAAUAUAAGAGUUUAUUUGUCAUCUAUCCAAAAUUGGUUUUAAUCAUUACACUUAAACCAAUAUAGUAUGAAUUUCAUAUUACAAUCAAUUACACAAAAUGACAUAGAAGAAAACUAUCAAAUUUGUAAAUAUAAAGAUGAUUACAUUUUUAAGAAGUAGUAUAUAUAUAUAUAUAUCUCAAAUAGUAUAGUAACUUUACAUAAAUAAAUACACUAAAGAAUAUAUACUAUACUAUUCCUUUCCCGAAUAUAGUAUAGACGAUAAGUUCAUCUUCUUCAAUUCUUCUUUUGUCAAACAUGCUGAUACACCUUCACUUCGUUCACCGUCGUUAUUCUUCACUACCAUAUAGAGAUCAUCUUCAUCUCUUGUCCUUUUUUCGACAUGUCGACGCUUUUACCGGUCCACCGUCAUUAUUUUUCACCAAUGGAUCACUAAAAUAAAAAAGAAACAAAAACAAAGUAUGAAAACGAAAUCAUGAUGUGAGAAUCAAUGAUUUAAGAGAAGGAAAAAAAGAAAUGAAAAAGUUGUUAUGUCUGCUCACCGUAUAUGCCUUCAUCGUUGUUCUUUGUUCUUCUCAAGAGAAGAAAUUCAGUUCAAGAAGAUGUGUGCAUAUUGAAAGACCACGUUCAUGUUCAUCUUCCUAAAAGCUAUCUAAUUAUUUUGGGAGGUGAAACUGAAUACAACGUGGCCAAAUAUUUUACUUGUUACAUUAAUUAAUUAUUUAUUUAAAUUUUUUUGGUAGUAGGUUUUACCGGUUGAAUAUGAGAGUAAUAUGACAAUAAUCUAUAAUGUGUACAGUGUAUAUAGAAAAAAGAGAGCUUUUAGGUAGUGGGUGAAUUAUAAUUUGUUUGAUGGUUGUACAUCCCAAUUUUCCUAUAUUAAAUGUACUUGGUGAUAAAAAAAAAAUUGUUUCUAAUCAUCGUAUAUGAUGAAUACAUUGCAAGUGGAGCAUUCAAUUUUCUUGGAUCUACUUUUUUCAAAACAAAAUUUUGAAUACAUGUGAAAUAAAUUGAGACCAUUGAUUCUACUAGGUGCAUAGUCCCCGCGCAAGCGCGGAGUCGGCUACAUUAUAGGUGUAUUGUAUAGUUUUGUUUACGGGAUUUUAUUGUUUUUUGUCUAUAAUGUGAUUGAUGAGACUUUGGAUAUUACAUAGGUUGAUGAGUUUGAUAUAAGAAUGAACGACGAAGUCAUAUGUUGAUAUUUUUAUAUCUUAUAUGUUCAAAGUUGAGGGUGAUGGAACUUGUUAGUGUUUACUUAGGUAGUUGUUUGUAUAUAAAUCAAAUAGUGCAUGGAAAAAGAUAAUAAAUUUGGAUUUAAAAUGUUAGGGUUUCAAAAUAACUGGGCCUUGAAUCUGUGGUUUAGUCUAAUACUGAAAAAACUGUUAGGACUUCAACUCCUUUUUUUUCUAUGUCGGGAAUGUGGGCACUAAUUUCCCGAUUCAUGUAGGUAAAAUUGUUUCUUAGUUUGUGAGAUUGAAAAGCGUAGAUUGAUUUUAAGCAUGAUUGAUGAGAGGUUUACUUGCAUCAGCUUCGUCUGCCGUGGGUGUUGAGUUUCGUCGGCGCCAGAUGUUAGACAUGCAAGAGAGAAGAUCUGAAUAUNNNNNNNNNNNNNNNNNNNNNNNNNNNNNNNNNNNNNNNNNNNNNNNNNNNNNNNNNNNNNNNNNNNNNNNNNNNNNNNNNNNNNNNNNNNNNNNNNNNNNNNNNNNNNNNNNNNNNNNNNNNNNNNNNNNNNNNNNNNNNNNNNNNNNNNNNNNNNNNNNNNNNNNNNNNNNNNNNNNNNNNNNNNNNNNNNNNNNNNNNNNNNNNNNNNNNNNNNNNNNNNNNNNNNNNNNNNNNNNNNNNNNNNNNNNNNNNNNNNNNNNNNNNNNNNNNNNNNNNNNNNNNNNNNNNNNNNNNNNNNNACAUUUUCUAGAAGAUGGUUAAAGCUAAGAGGAAUCAAUGAGUUUUGUGGAGAUGCAGAUUGGGUUCAUCAAAGAUGAGAAUCAUAUAUAUAUGGUUUACAGAGGGGCUACAAAUCAGGAACAUUUAUGAUCAAGCGAUUUAAGAUGGGGACAUGAAGAGUUCACCGGUGAAAAAAUAGAUUACGAACAUAUACACGGCGCAACUCUGUAACUCAGACUUGUUUGAGACAAUGAUGAAAAGAACCCAUAUUAAACUACAACAGUUUACAAUAUAGGAAAACCAUAAUUGUUGCAAACUUAAGCUUUUUUCAUAUAACGUGAUGAAUCCCAUUUAAAAAUGAAACCAUAACACACUUGUAGGUCCGACCCUCAGAGGAAGCCGAAGAAGCAAGGGCUUCCGACCUUCAUAAAUAUAUAUUAGGUUCGACCAUCAAUGUACAAAGGUAUCAGUUAGCUUAGUGGUAUAAAUGUUGGUCUUUAUAUCUCAAUAACCCGGGUUCGAACCAUGAGCUUGACACUUUUUUACACUUUUUAAAAGUGGGAUCUACAAAAUGAUGACGUGGCGCGCUGAGGAGAGAGCAAAAACUGAUCUAUUAUAAUAUAGAUUGUAGUACAUCAUUUAUAUAUUCUCAUUUUUCUUUCAUCAUUAGAAUAGAAUAUAGCAGGACAUUUCAGUAUAGUUUGAAAUUGUAUCAUUGACAACUAACCUCCAAUGGUUUUCUUAUGCUUAAUAUUUUUCUUAUAAAUUGAAAUCCAUGACUAACAACAUAUAGUUUUGUAUAACAUAUCAAGAAGUGGAAUUCAAGAAAGAAGUGAACCAACGAACAGAGUCCUUAGGGUAUCUCUUGAGCUUGUCUCUAUAAUCAACGAAGUAGAGACCAAAUCUUGAACUGUAACCAGCCGCCCAUUCCCAAUUGUCCAACAGCGACCACACAAAGUACCCUUUCACAUUGCAUCCAUCCUCUUUAAUCGCUGCUUGUAAGCUCGAAAGAUAGUCAUGAUGGUACUUGAUUCUCUUUGCAUCUUUGAGAGCUGCUUCUGUUGAGAUCAGAACGUUGUUUGGAUCAUCCAUUCCUACACAAAACACAAACAACAAUCAUCAUCAAAUUCUCCUUCUUGUGGAUCUAGAGGGUUUAAGGAUGUGUGUGCUUUACCAUUUUCAGUGAUAAAGACUGGUGGGUUUCCAUAUCGUUGCUUGACGUAGUUCAUCAAGCUUCUCAUCCCUCUAGGCACUAUGUACAACCAUAUCGAACUAGCCUGUCCACAACAUCAACAGAAAUUAACACCAGCUUACAAAUUUCUUAGAUGUUAAUUAAUUAACUAGAGUUACUAAUGAUAAUAAUAUUUACUUACUCUGUCUCCUAUUGCGUUCAGACCCUUAAAAGCUGAAAUUGAAAACAAAGAUUAUCAAUGAAGUGGUAGUAGAUACUCAUUUAACUUUUAAGUGAGAGUGAAGUGUGCUUUUCUUACGUAGGGUGACGGUUCCAGAAUCAGAAACGGCAUCGUGUAGGAGAGUGCCGAUGAGAUUGGUAUCAUUAUUCCUUGCGUAGUAUGUUGUGUAAUGAUUAAUCCCUACAAAGUCUAGUGAACCCUUCAUCAAAGCAGACUGAGAUCCCGUGAAUACUGGCAAUCUGCUUCCAACUCUGCUUCUCAUCGAACUCGGGUAGUCCCCAAACAUCAACGGAUCCAAAAACCUAACAUCGUAUUAAGACAUAUCACUUUCAAAUUAAUUAACGGCGGUUGCGUUAUGGAUUAGUUUAGAACUCUAGUGAAGCUUACCAGCCAAGUUGAAAGUCUUGAGCUCUUUGUGCAGCUUCAAUGUCCUCUGUCUUGUUUGACUCCGGUUCAUACCACAUUACAUCAAACGCUACCCCUAAUGAACCUCCUUGUUUUGCCUAUCAUAUGUAUACAUCAGAAUUUUAUAUCUUAACUUUCGUAUAAUAUAAUGCUUUCAAUGUAUUAUUGACUUACCUUAUACUUUUUCCUAUAGAUAUCGGAUACGGUGGCGUGAGUGAGAAGAACAUUGUGACCAACGAUGUAAGGCUCGGUAGAUGAGUUUCCAGAGCGACAAGUAAGCUUAAAAAGAAUAGUGCAACGGCCUGGAGCUUGUAGACCAACAUCAUAGCCUUGUAUAGCGAAUGUGUGUGGCUCAUUGAAUGUGAUCCAGUGUUUUACUCUAUCUCCAAAUCUCUGGAAACAAACCUCUGCAUAGGCUGCAAAAUCAUUUCUGCCAAUACAAUAAAACCAUAAGAUUCUUUUCUGUGUAUGUAGUAGUUUUAUGUGGGAUUUUUGUAUGGGAUAAGGUUACAUGAUUUGUGGGUUUAGCAAACCGAGGUAUCGAUCCUGGAGUGCCUGAGGAAGGUCCCAAUGGUAUAACGUCACGUAUGGCUCGAUCCCUACAAUUGUUUUGUUAUAAUACUUGUGAAAUUCAACCAAAAACAAUUUUAUAAGAAAACAUAUUCAAUGAUUGAUGUUCACUAGAUGACUAGGUUAGACCCAUACAAACAUGCAACAAAAAGAUACUAAGAAAUAAAUACCUUUAGCAAGUAAAGCAUUUAUGAGUUUGUUGUAGUGAUCGAUUCCGGCUUCGUUUAUUUGUCCCACGCCAUCUGUAAACAACACAUAAUAUAAUCAUCAUUAGUAAAAUAGUAAUCCAUCAAGAGUCAUCUCAAAUAGUACUAUAACUUUCAAAGAUAUGUAUAGUGGUACUUGGGAAGAUGCGUGCCCACGAGAUGGAAAAUCUAUAAGCGUCCAUGCCCAUGUUCUUCAUGAGCUGUACAUCUUCCUGCACUCGCCAUUUUUUUAUAAUUUUAAUCAAAACUAAUUACUUGCGUUUCUUUUGGAAAUGUAUACUUAUUCAAAUGUUUGUUAAUAGUAUAAACUAGGGUUACCUCGUAACGGUGGUACUGAUCAACAGCAACAUCAGCGUUGCUAAAAUCAGUGAUUUUACCAAAAGUGUGGGAGAAUGUGUCCCAUAUCGUUGGACCUCUUCCUUCUUCCUUUACUGCUCCCUCGUGCUGCACCAAUUAUUGAUAUCAGUAAUUUUAUUUCUUAUUACAAGGCUCGGUCCAUUAUUAUGUUCAUUUUCAUUUUGGGUAUUUUCUAAACACUGAAUCCGAAAUUCCAGCUAGAAAAAUGUACUAACGUUAGUAAUUGAAACAUUAAUUGGAUGUGCUUGGUUAGGUAAGAAGACACAAGCAAAGACUUUGGUUUUACUUGACUUGGUUAGGCUGGAAUUGAGGGAAAAAGAAAAGGGAAAAUAUUAUUGUGAAAAUGUGUAAAAGAAUGGGUCGUUGUAUGAAAAGACCUAAACUUUUGGAAAAAAUAAAAACAGAACCCACAAGAAAAGGAGCAGGAAGUAUUGAAUGCCCCGUGACUCAUGAACGUAUGUGGUCUUGUUUACGCGUCACACAAUCAUUCGUUUAUUUAUCUAUGGAUCAUAUUUCAAGAACAGAUACAACUACUUAUCUAACACUCGAUGUUGGAAGAACAAAACAUAUUACAUGGGGAACGUAUAUGUUCUGAUGAUGGCCUUAUUUCUGGUCGUGGACAAUUUUGUUUUCACAUUUCUUAACACUUUAAAGGAAAAGAUAAAUAGCUCAUACACAAAUAGAUAAACAAAGAAAUAAUUAAAUUAAUAAAUAGAAAAAUAAAGAGAGUGGGGGGGAGAGGGGACCUGAAAAGCAGAAGAAGCAGUUCCGAAGACAAAGCCCUUUGGAAAACUGCCUCUGGAGAUAUCCUGAGCACAUACGCAUCUCGUAUCCAUCAUCAUCACCACCACCAUUACCAUCCCCAUCACCAUGAUUAAUCUCCUUGAAUCCAUCUCUGCUUUAGUCUUUUCGUCUCCAGUUACAUAUAUUUAUGUGUAGUGUAGAUCGAAGGAAACUCUUUUCUAUUUUGUACGAGGAAGAAGAGAGACGAAUUAAGGAUAAAGAAAGAGCAUUUUCAAAAAAAAAAAAAAGGAUAAAGAAAGAGAAAAGAGGAAUGCGAGUGAGGAAAAUGCUAUGAAGUGGAUGCUAUAUAUAGGAUGUAAAGGUGAGAGAUAUGAAAUCUUCGGAUCAAAUGCCCAUAAAUAUAUUUUCAAAAAAAAAAAUGCCUAUUAAUAUUUUUUCAAAUUGAAAUUUAUGAAACUAAGAAAAAAAAAUUAUUACAUUAAAACUAUUUUGAGAAGAGAACAAAUAUAUAGGAGGGGUUACUGGGAGUAGAAAUUACGUAGAGCUGGUUGAUUUUAAGAAUCAAGAGAUUUGUUAAAUUUUUAAAGAGUUGUAAAGAGUUUUCAAUACUUAAAAAGUUUACAAAAUAUACUAGUAUAGUGAUUUUAAGAAUCUUGAGGUUAUAUGCAAGAUUUAUGAAGUUUUGUUUUAUGAGUAAAAUUGUUUAGAAUUUAAGUCCCAAUAACACUAGAUUUGAUAGAAUUAUAGAAUCAUUAAAAACCAAACUUUUUAAAUAAUAAAAGAUUUUAUAAAUUAUUAAAUAAUUACAAAACCAAUAACACUAGAUUUGAGUAAGAAUGUUAGAAUUCAUUAACCAAUAACAUUAGAAUUUAAUGAUUUUAACAAUCAUUAGAAAUUUACUAUAUGAAAUCUUUGGAUCAAAUGCCAAUUAGUAGUUUUCUCCAAAAAAAUGCCGAUUAAUAUUUCUAAAAUUGAAAUUUAUGAAACUAAGAAAAAAAUUAAUACAUUAAAACUAUUUUGAGAAGAAAACAAAUAUAUAAAGUAGACAAAAAUACAUGAAAAGUAAAUUAUAUUUUCUGUAUAAAAGCAGUGAUUUAUGUGAAUAAAAAAUCAGAUGUUAAUUAUAAACCAUAUACUUAUGUCAGAGUCUUAGUCAACUUCAUCAACCACUAUAAGAAAAACAAAACAGUAACUUAGAAAUAUAUUUAUAUAAAUUUUUAAGUAAAUUUAAAUUUCGGAUAUAAAGUGUAUAUAUAUAUAUGAUGUAUUCGAAAUUAAUUAUGCAACCAAUUUUACAUCUCUUUUGUUUCUGCUUUUUGCUUUCUGUUAUGCUAUUUUGUUAAGGUAUAUAUUGUUUAUCGAGACAACAAGGAUAGGUCGUUGACUAGUAUGUAACAACUUAUGGCAGAACAUUAAUUUCUUAAGAUAAUUGAGUUAUUCUUCAUGUGAGUGUUGGUGACUGGUCUUCGUGUGAUUGUUUUCUUGUUGUCUACCAUUACCAGUGAUAGAAAACACUAAGAGCUUGGGUUUGGUAAUUCUUUCGGUGGGAAUUGUUGUUUCAAUUCGAGUUUUUGUGCUCUAGUUCUCAGUAUAUUUUUAUGUUUUCUUGUUUGUAUGUCUGUAUUUCAAUUCAAUUUAUGAAAAAAAUUUCUUCGAAAAAAAAAUGAUAAUUGAGUUAUAAACAUAAGAAUAGGUCAUUGUAUGUAUUUUUCGAACCGUGGUAAGUAUUUGAUCUUUGAUUUGUAUGUUUUUAAACAAGAACGAUUUUUGUUUUGUUUUGGAUAUAAAGAAUUUUAAAUAAAUUAGAUUAGCUCUUUGGAAUCCCACGAUUUCAUGCUUAAUCUCUUAAUAACAUAAUGUGGAUGAAAAGACUAUAAGAAACCGCCAAUAAAGGGGUAGCAAUUUAUGACGAAAGCUGCUGCUGCUACUGAUAAAUUUGCGGUUGUGUUUGUGGCCCCUCUCUUAUUAUAUCACUCACAACUUGUUCCCAUUUUGCUUUUUCUUCUGUACUCUUUUUAUUUCUAUACAAAGAAAUAUUUUUUUGUACCAAUCACACGCAUUGCGAUGCUCUAGUUAGUUCCUACUUCCUAUGAUGAUAAGCACCAUUCCGUUUCUCUGUUCCUUUCUUUUUUUUGGCGUGGUUAUGCAUACAUGUGUGCAGUAACUACACUUACGUGAAUAUCAGUGUUUUUAAAACCGGACCGGAAGCUGAACCGGAAAUAUUUUGGGUCACGAUUCAAUAUGGUUCGACCGAAUCAAAUCUGGUUCAAUAAUAUGGUUUAAUAUUUUUUUUAGUAUGUAAAUAUAAAAGUAAUAUUAGUAAACAUGAUGCAUAGUUAAAAUAUAAAUCAAUUUUGAACAUAAAAUAUUAUAAAUAUAAAUUAGUUUCUUGUUUAUAUGGAUGAUUUAUAGAUUUUCGAUAUUUUUAGUGGUUUUUAUUGGUUUAAUAACUUUGAAAUAUAAUCCGGCUAUGUGGUCGGUUCAUGGUCGAACCAAUUACUAGACCAACCCGGCUAUAUAACCGGUUCACGGUCGAACCCGGUCUAAUCAUCGGGUCGGUCCGGUUUUAAAAACACCGGUGAAUAUAAAUGAAUUCACAAGUGUGAAUAUUUACAAGUGGCUUGUCAAGUCAUUGAAUGCUUGUUUUGAAAAUUCUUCACAAGAUGACACACGUAAUCGAGUUAUUGCUUUCUACAAAAAUCGAAUAAACAAACAAAGGGUGGAUGGAGGAAUGGGGAGUUGCGCAAUUAUAUGUGCACUUUAUAAUCACUUUUAUAUGCGUUUUGUUAGAUUCACACUAACAAAUUCAACGACCUCCAACACCUUUUUUUUCUUUCUAGUUUUAUCCAUUUACACGCUUGUGUUCACAUUCCUAUGCAUUUGUUUUAGCUUUUACCUUUCAUAUUUAUAUAUAUAUUUCUUUCGGAGAUUCAGGAACUGUAGUGCCUAUAAACGAUAUUUUUCUUACGGCCUGAAACAGAUAGUCCCAGAGCCAGUAACUUUAAGCUACCCACCGUUUAUGGUCGAUGUCAGUGGUAUGAAUAUGAUCGUUUCUUCGUUCAACAAAUGACGAGCUAGAUAUAAUAGCUUUGUGAGAAACAACACCGCACAAAUAUAAAAUAGCCUUUGAGAAAUUCAUUAUUCAAAACGGCAGAGAAGAUUUGUUAACAAUUUGAAGCAAACAUUUUAACCAGAACAACAAAGGCUGAGUUUUUUUUAUAUAUAGGUUACAGUAAACAACUAGCAAGUGACUUCCACAAGAGUAGAGCAGAGCAUUUCAGAUAUGUAAUCUGUCAGUUCUUCCUUCCUUCAGACAAGAUAAUAUGGUAUCCGUGCCUGCAAUCAUCUCAUUCAUCAUCAACUAAAUAAAGCACCAAAACAAAUCAGAUUUGAAAGAAGAGAGAGAGAGAGAGAGAGAGAGAGAGAGAGAGAGAGGAUGUGGACAUACGUAGAUUUGAAGGGGGCACUGGUGACACCAACAGGAGUGUUGAAGGCAACAUCUUGGAAUGGACCAGCCAUCUUUCCUCUAGGGAACCAUCCAAGAUCUCCUCCUUUUUUCCCGGACGGGCACUCCGAGUACUCUGCUGCAAUCUGACAUAGGUUCCACCCCAAAACAAAUCCUUGAUUGAGAUUCCUCACCACACAACAACUAUGUAACAGAAAACUGAAACUCGCAGGUCUCUAAAUAUCAAUGAACUAUGAGGUGUUGAAAUGUGCGUGUUCAGCUGUUAUGUACAUGUUAAUAAAGCUAUAGAUGAUACUUGCACUCUCAUGUUUUAAUUCAUAACCAAUAAAAAAAGGAGGAAUUUUAACCUUUGCAAACUCAGCAGGAGGAACCUUGUCUCCAUUGCUCAACCAACCAUCCUGCAACUUUUUGUAUGCCUCGUUGAUCUUCCCUUGCUUUUCGCACAAAACAUGUCUAGCUGAAAAAACAAAACCAUUGCAGCGUUCACGACAACAUUUCCAUGCUAUUUUUACUACAGACAUCUCAAGUGUGUAUAAAUAACAACAUACAAGAACACAAGUAUUAAAGACAGAAAUGAAAUGAAGAAAAAAACACCUUUAACAUAAGUGCAUGUUCCAAGACCAUCAGCGGCUUUUCCAGAUUUGCCUUUACCCUUGGAGGCAGCAGCAUCAUCACUGCCACUUGCUUGCUUUCCCUUACCCUUCCCACCAGACUUUGCGUCUUUCCCCAUCUGCUAAACUACAACAUACAUGAACACAAGUAUUAGCUUUAUUAUCGGUUUCAGGGUUUUAACACGACACACACACACACGUCUUGUAAACCCUAAAAUCCCUAAACCCUGAAACAUAGAUUGUAUCUAAAUGCAAGUGACUUGGAAUCUCUAAUUGGUGAACGUGCUUAAAGGGCACACUUUUGAGGCUUCAAAUCAACCACUUAGCAAGCUCAGAUCCAUUGAAACUUCAGAAUGAUCACAUCACAACAAGAUUUCGGAUUAAAUAACACGAACCCCGAGCUUUUAGUACACAUAUACAGAGCCUAACAAUCAGAGGAUUGACCAAAUAAAUUACAGAACCCAUCUUCCACAUCCGGAAAAAAAAAACAAUAUCAAAAGGAGCUAUCUUUCGAAACAAAUGAUCAAUCCUUAGAAGUCGAGAUGUCAAGAAUAUUUACAAGGUGAGCAGAAGAAGACGAUGCACUUUACCUUUCACCUUCUUCUUCUUCUCGCAGAUUGAACGAUCGAGAAAGAAAGAGUGAGAGAGAGCGAGGGAUAUAUUCUGAUAACACUGUCACGGAAUAUAACCCAUUUAUUGAUAUGGGCUCGGCCCAUUUACGAGGAGUGGAUUGAUUUUAAUUGAACGAACCGAAUCAAACCGCACUAAAUCGAAUCAAACCGUCUAAACCGAGGUGAUGUGAGAUUUAUAAACUCUGGCGAACAAGAAAGAGAGAGUCUUUGACGGCGUCUCUGCAGAAGAGAGAAAAAUGGGGGACGAUGAAGAAGCACCGAUGGCUGUUCAAAUCCAACCUGAUAUUCCCGUCGGCAAGACUCUCUCCGCGGAGGAAUCAAGCGACGCUGUUUCCGUCGGUGUCACUGUCAUCACUGGUUAUCUCGGCGCCGGAAAGUCCACCGUAAGCAAUGAGAAAUCCCCUUCUUUGAUUGAUUUACGUGUGAAGUAUUGGUUACUAACUGUUAUGUGAAUUGAUUUGGGCAGCUUGUGAACUAUAUUCUGAACGGGAAACACGGGAAGAAAAUCGCCGUGAUUCUGAAUGAGUUUGGGGAAGAGAUCGGAGUUGAGAGGGCUAUGAUCAACGAAGGUGAAGGAGGUGCCCUUGUUGAAGAAUGGGUCGAGCUUGCUAAUGGCUGUAUUUGCUGCACUGUCAAGCACAGUCUUGUUCAAGCUCUCGAGCAGCUUGUUCAGAGGAAAGACAGGUUCAUAAUCAUAUCUUUAUUUAAUUAAUGAUCCUUGUCCCUAAAUUUCUAAGAUCUAAAAGCCUCAGAUGGUAGGCAUAUAGGUGAAAUGAAGUUGAAGUAUAGUCACUUACAUUUUGGAGAAAAGAACACCUGUUUGAUUUACUAGACCUUCUUUGCUUUUGCUUUUGCUUUUGCUUUCGCGCGUGCAGGCUUGAUCAUAUACUGCUGGAGACAACAGGUUUAGCAAAUCCUGCUCCUCUGGCUUCUAUUCUUUGGCUGGAUGACCAGCUAGAAUCAGAAGUCAAGCUUGACUGCAUUGUUACUGUGAGUAUCUUGAAGCUGCUCUUUAUACUUCUCCUAUCAUCGCAGAUGAAUUUGUAAUACAUUACACAGUUCAUAGUUCUUCGUCAUUUAUAGCAUAUAUGUCCCUGGGUUGCUUGCUUGCUUUUCUCUCUGGUUCUAGUAAUAUAGUGCUUAGGCAUCUUGUUCCUAGUGCCUUUACUGACUUAGCUGCUUGACCAGGUCGUGGAUGCAAAGAACCUUCGUUUUCAGCUCAAUGAGCGCCGUGACUCAUCCUCGUUUCCCGAGGCUUUUAAUCAAAUUGCAUUUGCGGUACUCGUCUUGUUGUCACACAACAAAUAAGAACCCUUACUUUUUUCCUACUGCAUCUUAUUUCUCACCUCAUCAUGAACUGGAUUCUUUACUCGUUUUGUAGGACACGGUAAUAAUGAACAAGGUUGACUUGAUUUCUCAAGAGGAAUCUGAUGAACUGGAGAAGGAGAUUCAUUCCAUCAAUUCCCUCGCCAAUGUCAUCCGUUCUGUCAGAUGCCAAGUUGAUUUGUCCAACAUAUUUGACUGCCAAGCAUAUGAUUCAACCGUUAAGUCUCUUAAACUUCUCUUCUCUGUGUACAUGUUUGAGUACUAUUUAUUCUUUUGACUACGACAAUUGAACCUUUCUUUCCUUUUAUACUGCUGCAUUUAGCAUGUUAGUCGGCUUGAAUCCCUGCUAGAAGCAAAUAAAUCAUUAACGACAACGGAUCUUCAUGAUAGUGGAGUGAGGACUCUAUGCAUCAAUGAACCUCAGCCUAUAAACCUCGACAAGGUAGCAAACUCAUGGAACAUUAUUUGACUAGUGGUUAAAUAAUAGUGUUCUUCGUUACACACCUCCUUGUUCUUGGUUUUACAGGUUCGUUUAUGGCUUGAGGAAAUUCUGUGGGACAAGAAAUUGGAUAUGGAUGUAUAUCGUUGCAAGGCUGUAUUAAACAUUCAAAACUCAGACCAGAUGCAUAUUUUGCAGGUAAUAUAGUCAUGAAAUGAAACAUGAGCAAAAGGUCUUGUGACCACCCGGAAAGUGGUUCUUCACAUUGCCUCCAUGUUAUUGAAUAUGCGCAGGCCGUUAAAGAGAUAUAUGAGAUAGUUCCAGCGCGAAAAUGGAGUGACGAAGAGAAUAGAGUGAACAAAAUAGUGUUUAUAGGUCAGAUCUCCUUUUUUUUUUGUAUCGUAGUUAUCAUUAUUGCUAACAAAACUCUUUCUCUCUGCUUGCUGAUUCAUGUUACUGAAACAUGUGCAGGACACAAACUGGACGAAGAAGCUCUUAAAACCGGGUUAAGAGAGUGCAGACCAUGAAGAAAAACCUUAGAUAUUGCAGUGAAAACCGUUUUGGUUUUUACCGAUCUGGUAUGAAGCUCUUUAGUAUACAGCUGAUUUGGGGUUUUUGAAUAUUGUAAUUUUACCAUCUGAGUGUAGUUUUACAGUAGAAUCUUAUAGUUGAUGCUGUUUUAUCGAUAUUGUAUUUUGGAAUGUACUACAUUAGCUUCUGCGCCACAUUCAUUUUCAAUCAAAUUUUGAACAACAAAAACAUCUACAGUAUAUUUCCCUUCUUCUACAAGGUAACAAGCAAUGCACUACUAAAUCUUUCUUCAAAGCAAUGCACUACUAAAUCUUUCUUCAUGAACAAACCACGUUGCGAUUAUUCUAUAUUAGCAUCUCUGUGUAACCUUACAUGCUCUCCCCGAAGUGCAUAGAUUAUUCUACACUCUAUUAAUCAACUAGUAGAACAAACUGGUAUCGUGCAGACUCAGUAGACGGUGAUGCGGUAGAAACCAGGGUUAGGUUGGCAUUGUACAUCGGUUAGGCAAAACAGGGGAUGUUUCUUCUCUAUUUCUCCUUCUCUCUCUCGUAGUCAUUUUCUCUCCAUACCUCUGGAAUAUAUCCGCCAAAUCAAACAAACCCACUUCUCUAAGUUUCUUAGCCAUCUCUUCAAACAUCACCACACCUUCCUCAUUAGAGUAACAAUGCAAGAACUUGCUAUAAUCAAAUCUAGGAACUUCAACCCCUCUCUUCAACGUUCUCUCAAUAUACUUUGUAGCCUCCAACCGUUUCCCUGCCUUAACCAUCCCUCCAACGAAUAUAGUAUCGAAAUUCACCAACGGGUCUGGUCCUUUCCUUCCUCUCCUCCCCAAAUGCCCUUGCAGCAACAUAAGAUACGUAUGCAUUAUCGGCUCGCAUCCUCUUUGUAUCAUCUUCCUGAAAACCUCUGUUGCUUCGCUCGCCCGUUUAAUCUUCACCAACCCUCUUAUCAAUGCGUGAUAGAUACUAAUAUCCGGAUUCUCAAUCGCCUCGGCCGUCUUGUACGCCUCUGCAACUCUUCGUUUAGCCAGUAGCCCGUAGAUUAUCGAUGCCCAGGUCAAGUUAUCCACCUGAAUCCCUCUUUCACGCAUUUCAUCGAACACUUUCCGCGCUGUAUCAAUCCUACCGUUUUUACACAACCAACCGAUCAUAACCCUGUAGAAAGACACAUCCAAACCCUCACCUCGUUUCGAUACCAUCACGUAAAAGACCUUGGAAGCUUCAUCGAACUGGUUCUUCUUCAAAAGCGUCUCCAUAAUCUUCUUCCCAGCUUCGACAUCCACUUCAAACCCUUCAUCCAUCAUCAAAUUCCAAACCUUUGCAGCUUCGACCAAAUCACCAACGUCGCAAAACCCUUCAAUCAUCGUCCUGUAAGUCACCUCGUCAGGUUCGAUACAAUCUCUCAGCUUAGCAACGACAUACUUAGCUUCUUCAACAAGCUUCUCCUUACACAGAGUCUCCACCGCUCUGUUCAGCGUUGUGACAUUGUAACUGUAUCCAAACCCGUUCAUCAGAUGGAAAAAGCUAACGCAUUUCUUCAUCUCUCUAGCGGAAGCAAGCGUUUGCAGCACGACGCGGAACGUCUUGUCGUUGGCCAACCCUCGCUUCCCGGUUUCUUGAGCCAGUUCCCAGAAAAGAUCCAUGUUUCUCGAUUUUCCGAUGAUUCCGAGGAUCUUGUUGGAAGUGACGGAGGUGUGGGAGAAAUUUGGGUGGUGGGUCUGCGAGUAGAGGAAGAAGCGGUGGACCGGGCGCCAUGAGAGGGGGAAGUUGUUGCAGACUUGGAGGAAGAAAUCGUGUGUGAGUUGAAACUCGGUGGAGGAGAGUUUGGAGACGAGUCGUGAAUCGGGGGAGUUCUGUUGUUGGUAGAGGAUUGUGCAGACGCGGAGGAGAUGGUCUUGGUUUACAGGCGUGAUGUUGGUUGGAGGUAUCUUUGGUUGAGUUAACUCGGUAGUGAAUCGGCGUUGGAGAAGCAAGAAUCGCCGAGUUUGGUUUCUGAUGUUAAUCAUCCGCCGACAAGGAACGACGACGAUGCUCAUGACUUUCCGAAGGAAGUAAAUAUUAAAUUAAAUUAGUUAAAAGAGAAUUAGGGUAAAAGGUAAACCUUGUUGAGUGAGCAGCAUAAUAAAAAAAAACAAUUGGAAAUGCGGGGUAUCGAACACCGUGCCAUUAAUAUUUACGGUUAUUAAUUAAUAUACGAAAUAUGAUAUCGUUAGGGAGCGAAAAGUUCGUUAAGUUGGUUAGUAGGCACCACGAAACUGAAGGUUGAGAUUCAGUCUUCUUCCGCCAUUCGCGAUACCAUCCUCAAUUUCUUCUCUCUUUCUCUUCCAACCAUUUUAUUAUUUCUUUAUUUAUUUAUCUCUCACCAGAAGAAAAUCACAAGAAGACAAAAAAAAAAACAAACAGAAGAGAAACCAAGAACUCUGUUUCCGACACAUCAUCGUGACAAAAAAAAAAUGUCGUCAGGAACUGACAAAGAGAGAGAGAUAUUCGUCUACUUGGCUAAGCUCUCGGAACAAGCCGAGCGUUAUGACGGUAAGUAACCUCUCUUAAUGUCAAAACAUAUUUAACAUGUCUGAUCUUUAAAACGAAGGGUUCUGGUUAUAAUCUUGCAGAGAUGGUUGAGACGAUGAAGAAAGUGGCGAAGGUGGACAGCGAGCUGACGGUUGAGGAGAGGAAUCUGUUGUCAGUUGGAUACAAGAACGUGAUCGGAGCAAGACGUGCUUCCUGGAGGAUAAUGUCGUCGAUCGAGCAGAAGGAAGAGUCCAAAGGCAACGAAUCAAACGUGAAAACAAUCAAGGGGUAUCGCCAAAAGGUAGAGGACGAGCUCGCGAACAUAUGUCAAGACAUUCUCAGCAUCAUUGAUCAGCAUCUCAUCCCUCACGCUACCUCUGGAGAAGCCACCGUUUUCUAUUACAAGAUGUAAGAAAUAAGAUAAACACCCGUCUCUUGCAUCAUCAUAUAAUGCAUAAUGAAUUGAAACGUUUGUAGGAAAGGAGAUUAUUACCGUUACUUGGCUGAGUUUAAGACCGAGCAAGAGAGGAAGGAGGCCUCUGAACAGUCUCUCAAAGGCUAUGAGGUAUUAUCUGAAUAUGUUAUUUCUCAAACACUUGUGAACUAGUAGGGUCUGAUAGGGUUACUUUGAUUAGGCUGCAACACAAGCUGCAAGUACUGAGCUUCCUUCAACUCACCCGAUUCGUCUUGGCCUUGCUCUUAACUUCUCUGUUUUCUACUAUGAGAUCAUGAACUCUCCUGAAAGGUUACAUUCAUUUUUAACAAACAUCAAUGCAUGACUGAAAUACCAUCAGUUGUCAACUUGGUUUGUAAUGUGGUUAACUGUUGCAGAGCUUGCCAUUUGGCGAAGCAAGCCUUCGAUGAGGCGAUUGCGGAGUUGGAUACUCUAAGCGAGGAGUCCUACAAGGACAGCACUUUGAUCAUGCAGCUCCUGAGAGACAACCUCACCCUCUGGACUUCUGAUCUUCCUGAAGAUGGAGGUCUGUCUUAAAAUCACACAAAUAUGAUAAGCUCAAAACAAGAUGGUUUUAUAAUGGGUUUUCUUCUUGUUUUCAGGAGAAGACAACGCCAAGACUGAUGAACCCAAGAAAGAAGAGGCUAAGCCUGCAGAAGCUACUGAGGUAAUCAACCUGUAAAAAGAAGUAAUGAUUUGUUCUUGUUUGGGUCAAAAGCUGAUAUUAUUUUGUUUGUUUUCAGAACUGAUCAAAGGCUUUGGAAAAUUGAAUGAGACCUUUCUAUUAAGAAGCUCCAUAGCUUGGUUUCAUCAGGAAGAUGAGAUCUGAGAACUGAAUUCAAUCCUUUCUUGUUUUUUUCUUUUAAUUACACUUUUUGUUCUUUCUUUUGUUGUCAAUCUACUGAUAUCAAAUAUUCAGUUUAUGUUAUUUGAUUUGAUCAGAUAUGUUUUACAUUUCCAAUAUACAGACCAAUCAAACUGUAUUAUUUAAACAUUCCAAACAAACAAACACAACCGAGGCUCUGAAUGUCAUCAUGAAGAGAGAACAAAAAGCUUGUUUCUAUUAAACUCUUUGACAAGAGUAAAAAGAUCAGUAGUGCUCUGAUGGUUGUAUAUUAAUACUGCAUACUAUACAAAUAGGACUUAUCAUAAGAGCUGGGGGCAAACCUAACAAACCAUAUACAAAAACAGGCUUGAAAAGGAGGCAAAGACCACUUCUUCUUCUUCUUUUAUUGUUCUUCCUUAUCAAAGUAACUCGGCGGCAAGGUAAAGUCUUCCUCGUGGUUAAGAAUGUCAAUCUCCUCAUCAUCAGAUUUCUGAUACAAUCCAGAGGUAAAAAUAUUGAACCAUCAGCACAAUUCUAAUAGAAACCAGCUUAGAAGCUAAAGCUAAGUAGCAUCACAAUAGUCAAAUGCUUGGUGUAAUUACUACCCACCAGCAUCUCAAUGUUGUAGAAACGAUCCAGUAGCUGCAGAACCUCAUCCGCUGAGAACUGUCGGUCAAAGCUAUGGAUGAUAGAAAAACACUUCUUUAAGGUUUCGACAAAUCAAUAGGAACUAGUAGAACUGUACGGAAAAUGUCAGACAAACCUUCUGCCGAGAUACUCCAUCAGACCAUAAAGAACAAAGUGGCGAUGUAUCCCUGCUCGCCAUUGGUAGAAAGCAAGAAACCAUAUAACUGAUCAGUGCCAAUGAAAAAUUGAUUCCUUUUGGCUAAAGAAAGAAGCAUUUGCAGACAGGACAAGGAACAAGAUAUAGUUUUUUUUUUUGAGAGAGAACUUGCCUCGGAGUUUAACGGGAGGAUAGAUUUCAAGAGCUUCUAAGAACGUGAGCUCCAAUUCAACCUGUGACUGUUCCUGAAAAUCAAUCCAAGAACAGAGUAACAAUUAAACACAAGGAGGAGUUAUUGGCAGGUAGAGAGAGAGAGAGAGAGAGAGAGAAAGAAACCUUGGAGAGAGAAGAAGCGGAGGAUGGUAAGGCUUUACAGGGAGAGUGUACAGACAUAUCGUCCUGCUCUUCCUCUUUCUCUUUCUCUUUCUCUUUAUCUCCACCAACUUCGUCAUUUCUUCCACCCAUCUUUGUGUUCCCUUCCCUCUCUUCAAUCAGUUUAGGGUUUCGUGUCGUGUCGUGUCUUUGAUCCCAGAAGAAAUGAGAUGAAAUGUUCUCUGAAUCUGUGAGACAGAAGCCUCUCAAGAAUCCACCUGGACUCCGAAUUGGGCCGACCAAUUCUCAAGGCCCUGUCUCCGGUUUAGCACACCAGUAUACAAUUACAUUAUUCAAGAGUUACAAGAUCAAAAAGCGCAGGAGUGAAUUACUGUAUUGUGGAUAACUUUAGUAAUUAAAAAAAAAAACAUAACAUCAUGUGCAUGAGACUAUUUGAACACCAAAAAACAAAGGCUUUUAUGAAGAUAAAAAAAGAUACGAAUCUUCCAAAAAGUUUUGCCAUUUAUUGGUCAAUGCUGCAUGAAAACAUCUGCAAGAGAGACUAGUGAACCACUGAUCCUAAAACAACGAGCUAUGUAAUGGAAAAACAAAUCAGAUUUGAGGACUCGAAACGAUUAUAAAUGAAGCAACUGACAGCAAUGAAACACGGAGCAACGGUCCAUAGCUUCAAAGAUUCGAUGAGCCUGAGAUUCUCAUACCUCCCUCCUUCCUCAACAAGAGCUUCUGCAACAACCAAACACAUUUGAUGAGAUGGUCACAAUUUGAUGAUUCCUCUGUAACAAUAAAAACUGAGGAUUCAUUAUUACAUUUAGCCCUUCAUUAUGCGCGAACCCUGGAGUAAUCCAUGUUGAACAGCAUGUUCCUCCGGUUCUCUGAUCCCAUCCUUAUUUGAAACUUCUUGGCCAAAGACUCCACCUUAUCAUCGUUUUCGUUGUCUAGCUCCCUGAUACAUCGCCUUCUCAGCUUCUUCAGUGUCUCCUUGGAAGGUUCAAAUCCAGCUUUGAUCUGUUAUUUCCGAAAAGCAUGUUUUAGUUUCUCAUAGCCAUGUUAAACAACACACAUCCUUCUCUCAUAGCGGUUCUGGUUUUACCAUGUCAUCGAUGACCGUCAGAGCUGAUUCGGGAUCCCGGUUAAUGAGAUGAGCAUCAACCAGCAAUGAAAACGUCCGGGCAUCAGGCUUAACACCUUCCCCAACUAGAUGACUGUAUACUCUUGUAGCCUCAGGAGUCUGCAAAAGCAAACAAGCUCAGAGUCUUUAAGCCUCGUCGGAAAUAAGAAAAAAUUAAAGAGAAAGAGAGUGAUAUGACAUGGAGACAUCACCUACCUUCUUGACCUUUCCAAAUGCAUAUAUUAAAGCAUUGUACGAAUCAAUAUUAGGAGUCAGCCCAAAAGAAGCACUUAUUGCAUCAAACGUCUGGUAAGCACGAUCCAGAUCCCAUGUGUUUGCGCAGCCAAGAACUAUACAGUUUAGAGCAGCAACGGACUUGUACGGAGUAUCACCUUUACUCAAUGUCUCCAGCUGGAAGUAUACCUCAUCCAAUGUCUCAAAACCUUUCUUAGAACAGGCCACAACCAGCGGGUACAACGAUGUAAAAGGAGAAAGCAUUUCCUCCUUAACUUCCUUUUCAGCGUCCUUGUAUGCGUUUUCAAACUCAUUAAGUGCGACGAAAGCUUUCUGCAGGUUCCCCAACGAUGCGUAAGCAUUUAUCUUCGCAACAUAAGCCGCAGGGUUGGCUGCCUUCUUCCCACGCAGGCUCCGUUUCAGAAUCAUCCACGAUCCAUCUAUUAAAGUCGGAUUGCACGUCCUAGCAGCGGUUGCGAGAGCUGACACCACCAAACCUUCAUCAACAGAGAGUAAAACCGAGGGCCUAGCCAUUUCUCCUCUGUUGAUCCAAUUGUACAUGAACUCAAACGCGUAGAAUGCUAAUUUGCUAUUGUCCUCUUGAGUUGCUACUUCAGCCAUGUAUGUACAGAGUAUCCAGCUAGGGCAUAGGGACUUGUUCCGAUCAAGAGACUGUAAAACAAAACAAAAUGAGGCAAAAUGCUUUUUAAAUAUCAUCAAACUAAGACGUACCUUACACCUCUCGAUGAUGGAGACCAGUGUAUCUGUCCUACCUUUGGCUACACAGCUACGCACACAUUCGCUAAAAACAGUGGUGGACAACAUGUAACCAGAUUUUAGUGCGAUGUCCAGAAGCUGCAUGGCUUUGUCAUUCUCCCCAUUAGAAUACAGCAUUCCAAUAACCAAAUCAUAUGAUUCAUCAUCCGGACGAGAUUCAUCCUUCCCUGAUAUCAGCAUCCUGAUGGUACAUAAAAAAAAAAAACAAUAUAUUUCAAGAAAUGGCUAGGCGGUUACUAAACGAUUUAAAUUUAUAUAAGCCUAGCUUCUAAACGGAUUAUUCAUGGCAUAGGCAGGAACUAAACAUUAAUGAAUUACUUUUUAUUUAUUUUAUACUAGAUUUUUUUUUUAUAACUUUUUAGGUUUAAUUAUAUAACUAAUUUGAUGAGUUGUAAAAGUUAGGUAUAUAAAAAAAACGAAAUUUGACAAAGCGUGUACACUAACACUGUUACUUGAUUUAACUGAUUUACACCAAUUUAGAUAGAAACUCUUAAAUUGGAUUCAAAGAAAAUCUUCUCGAAUUAUUAUGUAAAUUUCAUAGAUUUUGCACUCGUAAGAGUCUUUUACUAAUUGAACAGUGAUUAAGCAGCAAUGUAUGUAAUUAUUGUGUAGAGCAAAAACAAAAAAGGAUUAAGUUGGAUAUAACCUGUUAAGCAGCUUCUCCGCAACCUCAGUCUCUUUCGCCUGAUGCAUAGCCUUCAAGACAAGAUUAUACGACGCCGUAUUAGGGGCCACGGAGAAAUCAUCCAUCAUCGCAACGAGAUCGAGCAUGUCACUAGGUGCAGCGCCCAUCAUCAAAUUAGCCCUAAGGUAAUGGUUGUAAAGGUUGACAUCCGGCUUGUUCGGCUUCCCGUUCUUGUCGAGCGACCGGACCCAGAACUCGAAUAGCUGCUUCAUGUCGGACCAGCGCUGCGACGCGGUCCAGUCGGCGAACAUGUUGAGCAGCGAGAUCAUGUCGAGGGUCUCGGAGAGGGCUCUGAUGCGGGCGGCGGGGGCUUGGUUUAGGAAUCCCAUGGGGACUAGUGAUUGGCUGAAGGAGGGCGAGUUCGGGAUCGGGCUCCGCCAGUUCUCCUGGUAGAGAGGGCUUCCUGUUGCUGGAUUUGGAGGGAGCGUGGUGGAUUCGUGAUCGGUUGCGAGCUGGGGAUCUUGAUAGAGGGACGGCGUACCGGAAAUGGUUCUGAUGUGGUGAUUGGGUUUGAGGGUUCGGAGGAGAGAGAUCCGAGACCGGAGGAAGAGAUGAGAAGACAUUGUCGGAAGGGGAUCUAGUUUGGAGUUGGAGUUUGGUCAAAAGGGGUUUAUCUUGUUUUAGGGUUUUCAGAGUUUCAGAUUGAGUUCGGUCGUGACGAUCUCUUCCCCCCCGUGGGCAGUGGUAUUUUCAGAAAUUAUUCGACAACUGAUGUCAUUUUCAGGAGUCUUAGAAACGGGUUUAGACCCAGCCCGGCCCAUUAUGGUAUGGCUAAAUUAGUUUUAUACUGAAGCUCCAAUAAUAUUUUAAUUGCUGCAUGCGAUCUAAAUUAUAAAUAUUAAAAUAUUUUGAGCUAAACUACAUGCUUUUAUAGGUAUUUAAAAUUAUAUGUGUAUGUACUGAUCACUAAUUUAAUAACCAUUAUAAGUUUUCAAUUCACCCAAAACAAUUAUCCAUUAAAAAAUAUGAUUUUUAUACUUUCAAUGUGAAUGAUCAAUUGUAAAUGAGUAAUUUUCUUAAUAGUUGUGAUGGAAUAUAGAAAAAUAUUAUACAAUAUUUAUAUUAAAAUAAUUAAUGCAACAUUUAUAAGAAAAUAAUAUCACAAAAAUUUCAUAUUUGUUUUUGAAUUUUUUUUAGAAAAUGCCAAUAUAUUAGUAUGAUUAAUAAAACAACCACUUACCAUCUAUCCAUUGAUUACAAAAUAGCUAUAAUAGGUUAUAUAUAAUAAUUUUAUAACAUUUUUUUUAAAACUAAACAUGAUUAGUUAGAUUUAAUAAUUUCAAAUUCAUAUAUAUGAUUGUUUGAACUAUAAAAUUUUUAAUCACUAGUAAUUUGUUUUUCAGUUAUACUAUUGUUUGCUCUAUAAAACUUUAAAUCAUCAAUUUUUGUAUUAAGUGUAACUUUUGUGCAUAGUACAUUACGAAGUAGAAGUUAUAUGCUAGUUUUUUUUUAUUUGUUUGGUGAAUUUAUUAUCCUAAAUUAUACUUAAAUGAGAUUUUCAAUGAUAAACAUAAUUUAGUGGACGUCUUCUGAAGCUUCCACCAUAUCGGAAAUAUAUUUGAUGCACACAUCAAAAAUGAAACUCCUCCAUGAAAAAUGUUUCACAUAAUUUUAAACUAUCCACAAUCCUAAGUAUAAAAUGAUAUGUGCAUCUAAAAUUGUGGAUAUGAAGACAAGGAUAUUUGAUGCUUUUAAUGAUUUUAGAUCAUUUUAUUUACUUUUAUCUUUAAUACUUUCCGAGAAAACGCAAUUAAAAAGUUAAUUGAGGAAACACAAUUGUUAGGUUAAUUGAGAAAAGGUAAAUUGAUGAAUAAUCAGAAAAUGAAAAACAUUUUUACCUAAAUUCUUAUCUUCCUACUAUACAACGAGUUACAUCAACGAGUUUCAAACAAGUUGAUGAAACUCUAGCCUGACAAAGAAGAUUUUCUAUUGGUGUACUUACGUAUAACGUCUUGGAGGUAGAUUCGGGUCAUAGGAACAAAUCUUUGAUCAUGUCUCUUCAAAGCAUUCUCUAUGCUUUCUCUGGAAUAUUUGAGAGGAUAACCAGCAAUGGCAUUCUCUUUAUCCCUAAGAGCAAUGACAUCAAUAACAAAGAAAAUAACAAAAUGAAAAUUUAAAUGUAAGAAAUAACAUUUCUAAAUUGCCUUAAAAUAACAAAAGCAUUGCAAGUUGUUCUGAUAAAAUGAAAAUUUGAAAGUAAGAUUUAAAGAGGUUUACCAAAAGGAAGAUAUUAACUGUUUAAUAUAGUUCUUAUGUUCAAUUAAACUAUUUGUUGCAUGUAUGAUUUUGUUUAUGGAAAAAUUGUUAAAUUACUAAUUAAAUUUAAAUUCUCAUCGGCAAAAGGGAAACAUCUCGUUGUCUGAUCCUAUUUCAUUUAAUUUCGAGAGACACCACACUUAAUUUCAAAUGGUGCUUUGACUUGGCUUAUAAAACAUCACUAAUGCUCAGCCAUUACAACUUAGCACAAUUCAAUAAUGGACUACAACGGGCAUAAUAUUGAUUUGAGAGAGAGAGAGAGAGAGAGAAAGAAACCUUGGAGAGAGAAGAAGCGGAGGAUGGUAAGGCUUUACAGGGAGAGUGUACAGACAUAUCGUCCUGCUCUUCCUCUUUCUCUUUCUCUUUCUCUUUAUCUCCACCAACUUCGUCAUUUCUUCCACCCAUCUUUGUGUUCCCUUCCCUCUCUUCAAUCAGUUUAGGGUUUCGUGUCGUGUCGUGUCUUUGAUCCCAGAAGAAAUGAGAUGAAAUGUUCUCUGAAUCUGUGAGACAGAAGCCUCUCAAGAAUCCACCUGGACUCCGAAUUGGGCCGACCAAUUCUCAAGGCCCUGUCUCCGGUUUAGCACACCAGUAUACAAUUACAUUAUUCAAGAGUUACAAGAUCAAAAAGCGCAGGAGUGAAUUACUGUAUUGUGGAUAACUUUAGUAAUUAAAAAAAAAAACAUAACAUCAUGUGCAUGAGACUAUUUGAACACCAAAAAACAAAGGCUUUUAUGAAGAUAAAAAAAGAUACGAAUCUUCCAAAAAGUUUUGCCAUUUAUUGGUCAAUGCUGCAUGAAAACAUCUGCAAGAGAGACUAGUGAACCACUGAUCCUAAAACAACGAGCUAUGUAAUGGAAAAACAAAUCAGAUUUGAGGACUCGAAACGAUUAUAAAUGAAGCAACUGACAGCAAUGAAACACGGAGCAACGGUCCAUAGCUUCAAAGAUUCGAUGAGCCUGAGAUUCUCAUACCUCCCUCCUUCCUCAACAAGAGCUUCUGCAACAACCAAACACAUUUGAUGAGAUGGUCACAAUUUGAUGAUUCCUCUGUAACAAUAAAAACUGAGGAUUCAUUAUUACAUUUAGCCCUUCAUUAUGCGCGAACCCUGGAGUAAUCCAUGUUGAACAGCAUGUUCCUCCGGUUCUCUGAUCCCAUCCUUAUUUGAAACUUCUUGGCCAAAGACUCCACCUUAUCAUCGUUUUCGUUGUCUAGCUCCCUGAUACAUCGCCUUCUCAGCUUCUUCAGUGUCUCCUUGGAAGGUUCAAAUCCAGCUUUGAUCUGUUAUUUCCGAAAAGCAUGUUUUAGUUUCUCAUAGCCAUGUUAAACAACACACAUCCUUCUCUCAUAGCGGUUCUGGUUUUACCAUGUCAUCGAUGACCGUCAGAGCUGAUUCGGGAUCCCGGUUAAUGAGAUGAGCAUCAACCAGCAAUGAAAACGUCCGGGCAUCAGGCUUAACACCUUCCCCAACUAGAUGACUGUAUACUCUUGUAGCCUCAGGAGUCUGCAAAAGCAAACAAGCUCAGAGUCUUUAAGCCUCGUCGGAAAUAAGAAAAAAUUAAAGAGAAAGAGAGUGAUAUGACAUGGAGACAUCACCUACCUUCUUGACCUUUCCAAAUGCAUAUAUUAAAGCAUUGUACGAAUCAAUAUUAGGAGUCAGCCCAAAAGAAGCACUUAUUGCAUCAAACGUCUGGUAAGCACGAUCCAGAUCCCAUGUGUUUGCGCAGCCAAGAACUAUACAGUUUAGAGCAGCAACGGACUUGUACGGAGUAUCACCUUUACUCAAUGUCUCCAGCUGGAAGUAUACCUCAUCCAAUGUCUCAAAACCUUUCUUAGAACAGGCCACAACCAGCGGGUACAACGAUGUAAAAGGAGAAAGCAUUUCCUCCUUAACUUCCUUUUCAGCGUCCUUGUAUGCGUUUUCAAACUCAUUAAGUGCGACGAAAGCUUUCUGCAGGUUCCCCAACGAUGCGUAAGCAUUUAUCUUCGCAACAUAAGCCGCAGGGUUGGCUGCCUUCUUCCCACGCAGGCUCCGUUUCAGAAUCAUCCACGAUCCAUCUAUUAAAGUCGGAUUGCACGUCCUAGCAGCGGUUGCGAGAGCUGACACCA
rnacentral:lncRNA from 1 species